AGGUUCUGCAUGGAGUGAAAACUCUUGGGCACCACCGGUUUGAAGGCAGAUGGACGGACCAGAGCUGAAUUAUUCUGAACGAGGAAAACAAAGCAGGUUAUUUCAGCUCUUGGUCUCCAUUCACAAAUUCACUGAUGACAUCAUCGCGCAGCUGUUACCAUGGGAACCGUCUCCAUCAAAGAGACGCGCGUCACGUGACGGGGAUACAACGUGCCAUAAUCAUAUUAUAAUGUGAUCUUCUCUUCUACCACUAGAUGUCCUCAGCUGCUUCAUCAAACUCCACACAUCUGGAGCAGAAGAAUGCCUG